ACGGCGAGUGAGCGGCAAAAGCUCAAAUUUGAAAUCUGGCACCUUCGGUGUCCGAGUUGUAAUUUGAAGAAGGUAACUUUGGAGUUGGCUCUUGUCUAUGUUCCUUGGAACAGGACGUCACAGAGGGUGAGAAUCCCGUGCGAUGAGAUGCCCAAUUCUAUGUAAAGUGCUUUCGAAGAGUCGAGUUGUUUGGGAAUGCAGCUCUAAGUGGGUGGUAAAUUCCAUCUAAAGCUAAAUAUUGGCGAGAGACCGAUAGCGAACAAGUACAGUGAUGGAAAGAUGAAAAGAACUUUGAAAAGAGAGUGAAAAAGUACGUGAAAUUGUUGAAAGGGAAGGGCUUGAGAUCAGACUUGGUAUUUUGCGAUCCUUUCCUUCUUGGUUGGGUUCCUCGCAGCUUACUGGGCCAGCAUCGGUUUGGAUGGUAGGAUAAUGACUAAGGAAUGUGGCUCUACUUCGGUGGAGUGUUAUAGCCUUGGUUGAUACUGCCUGUCUAGACCGAGGACUGCGUCUUUUGACUAGGAUGUUGGCAUAAUGAUCUUAAGCCACCCGU
rnacentral:rRNA from 1 species